rnacentral:rRNA from 1 species
CAAUAGCGUAUAUUAAAGUUGUUGCAGUUAAAAAGCUCGUAGUUGGAUUUCUGAUCGAGACAUCAGGUCGGGUCCGAGAGGAUCAUGUACUUUGAUUUGUUUUGAUCAUCCUUGGGGAGAGCAUUUCUGGCAUUCAGUUGUCGGGAUUGGGAUCCUCAUCGUUUACUGUGAAAAAAUUAGAGUGUUCAAAGCAGGCCUCGGCCUCUGAAUACAUUAGCAUGGAAUAAUAAGAUAGGACUUUGGUGGUCUAUUUUGUUGGUUUGCACGCCAAAGUAAUGAUUAAUAGGGAUAGUUGGGGGUAUUCGUAUUCAAUUGUCAGAGGUGAAAUUCUUGGAUUUAUGGAAGACGAACUACUGCGAAAGCAUUUGCCAAGGAUGUUUUCAUUGA